rnacentral:rRNA from 1 species
UACGAAGGGGGCGAGCGUUGUUCGGAUUUACUGGGCGUAAAGGGCGCGUAGGCGGCGGGUCAAGUUGAGUGUGAAAGCCCCGGGCUCAACCUGGGAAUGCCAUUCGAGACUGCAUAGCUAGGGUGCGGAAGAGGGAAGCGGAAUUUCCGGUGUAGCGGUGAAAUGCGCAGAUAUCAGGAAGAACACCCGUGGCGAAGGCGGCUCUCUGGGACGGUACUGACGCUGAGACGCGAAAGCGUGGGGAGCGAACAGG